UACGUAGGGUGCAAGCGUUAAUCGGAAUUACUGGGCGUAAAGCGUGCGCAGGCGGUUUCGUAAGUCCGUCGUGGAAUCCUCGGGCUUAACCUGGGAAUGGCGAUGGAGACUGCGAGGCUAGAGUUUGGCAGAGGGGGGUAGAAUUCCACGUGUAGCAGUGAAAUGCGUAGAGAUGUGGAGGAACACCGAUGGCGAAGGCAGCCCCCUGGGUCAAAACUGACGCUCAUGCACGAAAGCGUGGGGAGCAAACAGG
rnacentral:rRNA from 1 species